CAACUCUAAAUUCAGAAAUAGUAAGCACAUUGUGCGCUUUCUGCGUUUUUUGCUUUAUUUGGUUUAUUAGGAGGAACAUCUUAAUCAGCAAUGCAGAUAUGCUAAAAGUUAGGCGAUCACACUCUUAUUGGUGACAAAAUUGGCAGCGUUUUGGAAGAAAAUUAUCAUUAUUUAAAAGAUAAAGUCGGAAAUUUGUCUGCAAAUUUAUUGCAAAAUUGUCAAAAAUGGUGUGGUGUAAAGGUUCAAAAAGUCAUAUUUAAAAUGUAUGGAAGGUUAUAUGAGCCUUAAUUUAACUAUAAUAGAAGCCAAAGGAGAGAAAAUAAAAAAAACAGUUGAUCGUUCAAAAAUUACAUUCAAUAAAAAAGUAGAAGAUCUUAAAGAAGGCAAGCAGCCGACCUCUUCGCGGGGCGAAAACCUAACGCAAGAUUACUGUCUCAAGCGGUAAGCAUAUCUGCUCGGAGGGGCGGGCUAGUUGAUUUUCCUGUCGUAUUUAAAUAACUUGGAAUAAACCCUGAAAAAGCCGACACUUUUCGCAAAAUGAUAAUCAUGCCCGUUGUACAUCGUUUGCGAUCUUCCGCUAAACAAGCGUCGGCUUUGAUUCUGGAUCAAGGUUUUACAACUAACCAAUAUUAAGCAAUUCGAGAGGAUGCAAAAUUCAGAAAAGCUGAUAUAUAAGUCUCCUUCUGCUUUUUCCACGGCCCAAAAGCAUGUCGAACGAGUGUUUUAGCUCGUUGCCCGGUAUGGCCUCCAGUAUGCCGGUUCAAGCCUUUUGAAUGACCUCUACGUCUGUAUAAUCCUUUCCUUUUAUCGGCAAAUGCAUUUUUCCGAAAAGGUAAAAGUCGCACGGUGCCAUAUCAGGUGAAUACGGGGAGUGGUUGAUGGUUAAAAUGUGAUUUUUGGUCAAAUAGUUGGACACAAGCGUCGAUCGCACCGAUGAGAAAAACAUACUGACACUUAAAACGCAAUAACCUCACUUCCAAUGGAUGAAAUGUCAUGAAAUUUUUACUGGAAGUCGAUAAACGAUAUCAGAUUCUAACGCACCAGUUGACAUAUAGAUGGCGCCACUACUUUGGAACUCACCUUGUAUAUACCAAUUAUGUAAAUAAAUGUAAAAAAAUGAAAAAGAA